GAGUCAGGGAGCUCUCCUGUCACCAGUAUUGAUUUCAGAGGAUGGACUAAAUUUCCUAGGAUUUCCAUUAAGAAUUAAGAAAAAAGCUCUAAGCACGCAGGGUAGCCAGACAGACAUGGAUAUGAGAUGGCACUGUGAAAACUCGCAGCAGCAGCAAAAUGCAUGAAUCCAGAAACUCUCCCAAUUGUCUCAGAAGAAGUAAGAGCAGAGUAACAUGAAACCAUCUCCAAUGCUAUUUAAAGACCACAGAUGACAUCCUUGUGGCCUCAGCAGAGUGUCCCAGCGAUGAUGAGGACAUUGACCCCUGUGAGCCGAGCUCAGCCAACCCAACCCGAGCAGGCGGCAGAGAGCCGUAUCCAGGAUCAGCAGAAGUGAUCCGGGAGUCCAGCAGCACCACGGGUAUGGUCGUUGGGAUAGUAGCCGCUGCCGCCCUGUGCAUCCUUAUCCUCCUCUAUGCCAUGUACAAGUACAGAAACCGGGAUGAAGGCUCAUACCAUGUGGACGAGAGUCGAAACUACAUCAGUAACUCAGCACAGUCCAAUGGGGCUGUUGUAAAGGAGAAACAACCCAGCAGUGCGAAAAGCUCCAACAAAAAUAAGAAAAACAAGGAUAAAGAGUAUUAUGUCUGAUCCCAAGAUCUUAAAUGGACACUUGUAUAGAAAUAGUCUUCAUUUUAUCUGAGACAUAAUAUAAACUUACUUACUUUCCUUUUUAUGAAGCACAUACAAAAGAAGACAGGGAAUGCAAUCAGGAAGGAAAGACUUUUUAAAAAAUAAAAACAAGUAUCUCAUGCUCUUGUUUCUCAAAAAAGAAAAACAAAAAACAAAAAACAGGGGCCAAUAAAUUCCCUAACAUCCACAGUGUUUUCAUUUACUCUGCUUGUCUUUAUGUUGCUGGAACAUUUCUAAAAGACAGUGAUGACCGCACGCAUUCAUAAAGCAAAGGAGUACUACAGCAUCAAGGCACAACACAAAAACCAACACAAAACAUAACACAAAAAAGAAGCUACCUAUGAUCCUGGAUUUAGCCAAAGUGCUAGCGCUUUCCUGAGAAGUCAGUUAGUCCAAUUGCCAGAGAAGACUGUCCUUUUGAGUGACUCAACCUGCAAACCUUUAAGAGUUUGCCGCCUGGUGCAACUGGAGCAGUGGUUGGAACUUGCAUUUGAAACAAAGUGCUGGCUUUUUUGAAGACUUGUGUAGGAACACAUUCAAAAAGCCCCUUUCUGGUUGUGAGAGAGGAAAAAAAAGUAUGGAGGCCUUAUUUUCAAAAAUGUGAAAUAUAAGGCACGUUUUCACACAAAAUUUCAAAACAAAAACAAGAGGGCAUAGAUGCAAUCAUUGGGAAAUUUUCAUGCACGCUUAUUAUGUUAUUACAUAUGUUUAUAUAAAAUCCAUCUCUGUGUGCUUUCUGGACUGUGAUAAGUGAUGUUUUAUAGCCUGUUGUAUAGAAAAUGCAAAAUAUAUCUCUGCUCUUCAGCCAUUUUUGGUAAAUUCAAUGUUAUAAGUGUUGCUAAGUAUAGGGAGUUUUAUGACAUCAGAGCAACAAUUAUUUCAGUUGGGUUUUUCUUUUUUUUUUGCCACCAUUAUAAAUUGCCACAAUUACUUACUUUUAUUUUUUAAAGAAAUUACAGUGUAGUGUUUAUUCUAAGGAAGAUAUGUAUGAAUGUAUAUACAAAGACUCAGCUACUUCUUUUCUUAUAUGUACAGCCUUCAUUCUGUUGCAAUUAAGUUUUAGUACUUGUAUGAAAGGUGUGAAUUAGAAAGUCACAUAUAUACAUAUGUAUCUUAUAAUCUUUUCUCCCUGAAAUACUCACAUUCCCACAUACAUUCACUAUUUUAACACACACACACACACACGAAUCCACAGCAAUCCAUCAGAUAUGCUGGAAGAUCCAAACGUGCAUACAGUAGCAAAUAUUUAUUGACAAAUUGAAAAGCAGGAAGGAAGAGGGUUGUGCCAAGGUAUUGAUGACAAAUGGGGUGAUUUGCUUCAUUGAGAUCUUGCUCCCAGGUAACCUUAAGAAGAUUUUAGUCCCUAAUGAAAUGAACCUUUCCUUAUCAAAUAGAAUAUCACUGAUAUACUGCUGCAUGAAUAAGAACCAUUAUGUGGGCAGGUUAUGGAAGCAAAAUUGUUUAAUCUACACCUUAACUCUGGCUGCUGCAAUUGAAAACUUUCUUUCUAAUAAAAUAAUAUAUAUAUCUCUGAAUCUGAUGUGCAUGAUGAACAUUUCUGGAAAGUAAACACUUUCUCUCGACUAAGAAAGUAUUUUUCAGUAAUUUUUGAUUCUGUAUUACUACCCACUUAAAAAAUCAUUCUCUGUUAAUUAUUGACUAUGUUUUAACUUUUCUGGUUUUACAUAUAUAUCAUUAAAUAUAGUUUUAGUUUAACACAUUAAGUAGUAGAAAAUUAUAGAUUAUACACUUGUUUUGCAUAUUAUUCAAUGAUGUUCACAGCAAUAAAUUACUAAUAUGAGAAGGUAGUGCAAAAAAUGCAUUAUUACAUUGCAAGUUGAUGUUUCAGUAAAAAUUGGUUGCAUUACUUGAAUACCUUCUAAAAGAACGAUAAAAAAUUUUGUAGAAGAGUAGAAUAUCUUUACAAUUAGCUUUAAUCAGCAAAGGCAAAAAAUGCAAAACAUCUUUUGUGAUACUUUAGUUGAUGAAAAAAAAGCCAAGAAGUGGCCUGGAUUUCAGAUAUACAGCACCUUAGAAAUAUGUAUAAUUCAUAGCAAAUCACCACUAUCUAUGGUUGCCAAGUAAUUGUUGUGUACAAAGAAAUUUAGUGGCUUUUUAUGACCCAGAAAGUAGAAGGUAUAAAAUGAAAAUUUAAUAUCCAUUGCUUUUCUAGAUUUUCAUUUUUUUUAAUUUGCCACAUUAAAUAAUUCACGAGUCUUUUCUUUUCCCCCGUCUCAUUCAGUCUUACUCAGGGAAAGCCAGUUAAAUAAGAAGGGAAGUGUAAAACUACUAAUUUACAGCUUGAAGGGUUUUUUUUUUUUUUAAGAUUGCUUUUCUUUUUUAUCUAUUAAGCUUAAACCAGUUUCCAUCUGGAAAGAUUCUAAAAUAUAAUAGAAAAUAAAUUGAAUAAUGGUAAUUUUAAGCAGUAUAUCUAUGAAAUGUGUUGUUUGGGAUUGAUUUCAAUGUUUCUCCCCAGCAUAAAUUUUAAAGUUACAUGCAAUGAUUGAUACAGUUUAUUAUCAGCAAAAUUAUUUCUAAUAUUAUUGGCUUACACAAACUCUAGCAAAAAUUAUUUUUUCCUCAAUGGAAAAAGAAAAGAGAGGAACACAGUUAGAAAGAGAAAAUGACUUGAAUCCCAAGUAUCUUCAUACCAAACAUAUCAGGGUUCCCUGCAUAGUUUGCAGUUGAUUGAGGAUUUCACACUACUUGGCAUAAAUUUGAUUACAUCUCUAGACUGUAACUUUUCUGAUUGAUUAUGCUUCUUUUUUAUCCAUGUAAUGUGUUGCCUUUUUUAAAAGAACAAAUACUACAAUAAUGUGUGAAGUGGUCAAUCCCUAAGACAUCAAAGAAAGGCCACAUAACCCUACCCUUCUAGUGCUUUGUGUGAUUGGGUAUCAAAGGGGUUUUCUUCUUCUUUUUUUGUUUGUUUGUUUUUCUGUUGCAAGGCCAAUUUAUCCAUUAUUGGAAAUGCUAAGCAAGUGGAA
rnacentral:sRNA from 1 species